UACGAGGGGGGCAAAUGUUGUUCGGAAUCACUGGGCGUAAAGGGAGCGUAGGCGGGUUUCUAAGUCAGGUGUUUAAUCCCGGGGCCCAACCCCGGACAGGCACUUGAAACUGGGAAUCUUGAAUAGUGGAGAGGUCAGUGGAAUUGGGGGUGUAGCGGUGGAAUGCGUAGAGAUCCCCAAGAACACCAGUUGCGAAGGCGGCUGACUGGACACAUAUUGACGCUGAGGCUCGAAAGCAUGGGGAGCAAACAGGG
rnacentral:rRNA from 1 species